GCAGUAGCCGCGGUAAUACGAAGGGUGCAAGCGUUAAUCGGAAUUACUGGGCGUAAAGCGUGCGUAGGCGGUUUGUUAAGUCUGUUGUGAAAUCCCCGGGCUCAACCUGGGGAUGGCAAUGGAUACUGGCAAGCUAGAGUGUGUCAGAGGAUGGUGGAAUUCCCGGUGUAGCGGUGAAAUGCGUAGAGAUCGGGAGGAACAUCAGUGGCGAAGGCGGCCAUCUGGGACAACACUGACGCUGAGGCACGAAAGCGUGGGGAGCAAACAGGAUUAGAUACCCCUGUAGUCCCUGUCUCUUAUAC
rnacentral:rRNA from 1 species